rnacentral:rRNA from 1 species
GACGAACGCUGGCGGCGUGCCUAAUACAUGCAAGUCGAACGCAGUGGGGACGGGUGAGUAACACGUGGGUAACCUCCCAUCAGAGGGGAUAACACUUGGAAACAGGUGCUAAACCGAUACUGAUGGAUGAACCCGCGGUGCAUUAGCUAGUUGGUGAGGUAACGGCUCACAAAGGCCACGAUGCAUAGCGGACCUGCGAGGGUGAUCGGCCAAACUGGGAAUGAGAAACGGCCCAGACUCCGACGGGAGGCAGCAGUGGGGAAUAGUAGGAAAGGGACGAAAGUCUGACCGAGCAAUGCCGCGUGAAUGAAGAAGGUUUUCGGAUCGUAAAAUUCUGUUGGUAGAGAAGCGUUAUCUAACCAGAAAGCAACGGCUAACUCCGUGCCAGCAGCCGCGGUAAUUC